rnacentral:rRNA from 1 species
UACAUGGGGUGCAAACGUUGCUCGGAAUUAUUGGGCGUAAAGCGCACGUAGGCGGCCUGUUAUGUCGGAUGUGAAAGCCCUUGGCUCAACUGAGGAAGUGCAUCCGAAACUGGCAGGCUAGAGUAUGUAAGAGGGUCGCGGAAUUCCCGGUGUAGAGGUGAAAUUCGUAGAUAUCGGGAGGAACACCGGUGGCGAAGGCGGCGACCUGGGACAAUACUGACGCUGAGGUGCGAAAGCGUGGGGAGCAAACAGG